CAACGUUGGCACCGCUGAUGGUACAAAAGGCAGUUUAGCAAAGAAAUUUCCGUUCAUAUUUCUUUCUCUCUUGAACCGUCUUCGUGUGAAGAAUCAAAUAUGAGAGCUAAGUGGCGUAAGAAGCGUAUGCGGAGGUUGAAGCGUAAGCGCAGGAAGAUGCGUGCGAGGUCCAAGUAAAACGUUGACGACCCUGAAGAAUGUUUUUUUACAAGCUUCAACCUGACAUGAAAUGCUUCAAGUAAAGAUUUCGCUACAAAGUAUUAUAUUUGGGCGUGUUUCGGAAAAUUUACAUUGAAAAGUGUAACAUGUUUGAAAUAAAGAGAAAUCUUUGAUUUUUACUGGAAGUGAAACAAAAAAACUUAUAAA